UACGUAGGGACCAAGCGUUGUUCGGAUUUACUGGGCGUAAAGGGCGCGUAGGCGGUGCGGUAAGUCACUUGUGAAAUCUCUGAGCUUAACUCAGAACGGCCAAGUGAUACUGCAGUACUAGAGUGCGGAAGGGGCAAUCGGAAUUCUUGGUGUAGCGGUGAAAUGCGUAGAUAUCGUAAGGAAGACCAGUGGCGAAGGCGGGUCUCGUGGACAGUUCCUGACGCUGAGGCACGAAGGCCAGGGGGAGCAAACGGG
rnacentral:rRNA from 1 species